rnacentral:rRNA from 1 species
GUUGUUCGGAAUUACUGGGCGUAAAGGGCUCGUAGGCGGCCAACUAAGUCAGACGUGAAAUCCCUCAGCUUAACUGGGGAACUGCGUCUGAUACUGGAUGGCUUGGAUUCGGGAGAGGAAUGCGGAAUUCCAGGUGUAGCGGUGAAAUGCGUAGAUAUCUGGAGGAACACCGGUGGCGAAGGCGGCAUUCUGGACCGACAUUGACGCUGAGGAGCGAAAGCCAGGGGAGCAAACGGG